AGUGACGAACUUAAUUAUUGGCACAGUUGACAUGUCUGACUUUAACAUAGCUUUUCUCCACUAAAAACUAAGAUAUUUAAUCAAAAAAAAAUUUAUUCAUAUAAUAUAUAUCGAUAAACUUACAACAAAACAAACUUAACUUUAUUCUUGUAUCACAUUUUAAGUAACUAUAAAAAUUUAAAUUAUAAAAGAACACCUGAUUUUCUUUGAACAAAAUUAUUGGCACACUAAGCCAAAAAUGAUAAAAAUAAACAUAAAGAAUCGUUUUAAAAUAAAAAUUAGUAUUUUGUGGCUAAGCCCUUAUGCUUAUGACUACCUCCAAGCGCCUGGGCAUCGAAGAAACUAAGUUUUGGAUAGUUUCUGAACCAAUAUUGUGGAUAUAGCUCGUUAUUUUACCCGUCGAUCCAAUUCUUCCCACAUAUGUUCGAUAGGGUUUAGAUCUGGAGACUGGGGCGGAUGCGGCAAAGUAUAUUUUACAUGAUGUGCGAGCCACAUACGGACAUCAUGAGCCGUAUGCUUUGGGUCAUAGUCGUGUUGAAAAGUGAAUGUGGCUGUUCGCCGACACCAGCGGCGGACAUGCAGCCCCACACCAUGACGCCUCCACCACCAUGUUUCACAGACAUAGCAAGGUUCGGAGAAGAUGACAUUGUUCCAAAAGUCUGUUGGCUUACUCAAAUGUUCUUUUGCUAAACGCUUCUGCUGGUCGACUUUGGAAAUAAGUGGUUUUCUAUAGCAACGCGGCUUUUGUAAUUAGCUUCGUGCAGUGUCCUCCGAACCGUAAUAGGGUGAAUAUCUUUUCCAAAUUCAUUUUUAACUUCAGCUGCAAUCUUUGUUGAGGAGAUUUUUGGGUUCACCUUCACCUUCCUGAUGAUCCUGGCCCGCUCCCGGUCAGUCAAAGCUUUGGGUCGACCAGUGUGCUUAGCACUCUCCAACGAUGAGGCUCCUUAAAAACGCUGGACAAUGCUUCGAAUGGUAAAACGGCUUCUAUCCAUCAUUUCCCCAAUCUCAGCAUAUUAUUUGCCUUGAUUAUGCAAAUAUAAAAUUAUUUUCCUUUGAGAUUCAGUUGUUUCCUUUUGUUUGCCGCUUGAAAAUGUAUAGCCACGCAAUUCCGGAAAUAUAGAUAACGGAGCUUUUGAAGAAAAAUUUAGCCAGAUCGAUGAAAUUUCGACAAAAUAGUUCACUAUUACCUAAGUGUGCCAAUAAUUUUGUAAAAAAAUCAGGUUUUUUUAUAAUUUUAAUUUUUAUAACUACUAGAAAUGUGAUACAAGAAUGAAGUAAAGUUUGCUUUGUUGUAAAUUUAUCGAUAUACAUAAAUAAAAUUUGUUUUAAAUUUAUAUUUUAGUUUUUAGUGGAGAAAAGCUUUGUUAAAGUCAGACAUGCCAACUGUGCCAAUAAUUAAGUUCGUCACUGUACAUACAUAUGUAUGUAUGAUUGCACGAAAGGUCAUUACAUGUACAUACGUGCAUACGCACGUUUACAUGGUGUUUGUAUGAAAAUAUUACUUUCUUAGGAACAUCAAAUUCAGAGGAAAUUGUGGAGGAGCCAACUCCGAAAAAGAAGCGCGAAACUUCAGUUGCUUGGGAUCAUUUUUUAUAAUUAAACAAAAACAAACAUUUAAACAAACUGUGACAAACAAAAACAUUUUUUUUUCCUAAACAUCGAUGUUUUUUGUGAAAACAUCGCAACGUUUCUCCACCCCUAAAUGUCCCCCUUACUGCGUUGCAAGCUUUUGACUAAAUGUUUUAUUAGCUCCGCAUAAAAGAAUAGAAUUUGGUUCAGAGGAGCAAUUAUUUUCCUGUAUUUGUAGAUUUUACAUUUAUAUGAUUUUACUUCAUCUUCGCCGGCAGGUUUAAAUUCAGGAAUUGAUUAUUAACUCAAAUUACAUUUGUGAGCUCGCCAUAAGAACAACUUUUACGAAUCUUGAUGGCAGAUCU